rnacentral:rRNA from 1 species
AUUGAACGCUGGCGGAAUGCUUUACACAUGCAAGUCGAACGGCAGCACGGGGCAACCUGGUGGCGAGUGGCGAACGGGUGAGUAAUAUAUCGGAACGUGCCCAAUCGUGGGGGAUAACGUAGCGAAAGUUACGCUAAUACCGCAUACGAUCUACGGAUGAAAGCGGGGGAUCGCAAGACCUCGCGCGAAUGGAGCGGCCGAUAUCAGAUUAGGUAGUUGGUGGGGUAAAGGCUCACCAAGCCAACGAUCUGUAGCUGGUCUGAGAGGACGACCAGCCACACUGGAACUGAGACACGGUCCAGACUCCUACGGGAGGCAGCAGUGGGGAAUUUGGACAAUGGGCGCAAGCCUGAUCCAGCCAUUCCGCGUGCAGGAUGAAGGCCUUCGGGUUGUAAACUGCUUUGUACGGAACGGAAACGGUCUGCCCUAAUACGGCAGGCUAAUGACGGUACCGUAAGAAUAAGACACCGGCUAACCUACGUGCCAGCAGCCGCGGUAAAACCAA